rnacentral:tRNA from 1 species
GCCGAGGUGGUGGAAUGGUAGACACGCAAGUUUCAGGUACUUGUGGGUGUAAAAAACCCGUGGAGGUUCGAGUCCUCUUCUCGGCACCA